rnacentral:rRNA from 1 species
AUUGAACGCUGGCGGCAUGCCUUACACAUGCAAGUCGAACGGCAGCACGGGAGCAAUCCUGGUGGCGAGUGGCGAACGGGUGAGUAAUAUAUCGGAACGUGCCCAGUCGUGGGGGAUAACGUAGCGAAAGCUACGCUAAUACCGCAUACGAUCUAUGGAUGAAAGCGGGGGAUCGCAAGACCUCGCGCGAUUGGAGCGGCCGAUAUCAGAUUAGGUAGUUGGUGAGGUAAAGGCUCACCAAGCCGACGAUCUGUAGCUGGUCUGAGAGGACGACCAGCCACACUGGGACUGAGACAGGCCCAGACUCCUACGGAGGCAGCAGUGGGGAAUUUUGGACAAUGGCGCAAGCCUGAUCCAGCAAUG